rnacentral:tRNA from 1 species
GCCGAAGUGGUGGAACUGGCAGACGCGCAGGUUUCAGGUACCUGUGAGAUUACUCUCGUGGGGGUUCGAGUCCCCCCUUCGGCA